GUGUGCUUCAACACAUAUACUAAAAUUGGAAUGAUAUAGAGAAAAUUAGCAUGACCCCUGCACGAGGAUGACACCCAAAUUCGUGAAGUGUUCAAUAUUUUU